AAUAUCUGUUUUUUUUUUCUUUUUUUGUGACUGCAUUUCGUGGUGAUUAUUCUUUCUUCGAUUUUUUGUGGUGUCAACGAUGAUUAAUUGCACCGUCAUUCGUGAAGGAUAAUUAAAGACAGUGUGUAAUCCGUUCCCAGCUCGUUAAUACGGCGUUGGACGACAUUAGAAGAAUAAGUUGUUCGCGAUACGGAUCCCAUGUGUAAAGAAGAAACGAGUUUAUUUCGAAAGCGGUCACAUUUCCUCUUAUUUUGAUAUCCGGCCUUCGAUAAUAUCUUCUCUUAAGCUACUUACAUUCACAGGUCUCUGGUUGGCCAGCUUUUAAGAUGUUUAUCAAUGAUGGAACACGUAUUAUCUGCUAAUGCUUCAUCAGAGAUAGGUACACGCGUUACAUGCGUGUUCGAAGAAAGUUUACUGUUUGAAUCUAAAUAACGAGAGUUGUUGUUCGAGUUAGACACGCGAACCGAGUGCAUGCAUCGUAAACAACUCGGUGUCAAAAUUAAUUUGUUCCGAACAGCGUUGUAAAUUGAGAUAUCCUAGGAUCGAGUGUCUUUACUGUUAUACCUUUGAAAACUUGUCGUCUUAUUCAAUAAAAUAUAGAUAGAGGAAGGAUUGACGAUGGAGAAGAUACUAAAUAUAUCCUUGAAAUUCCUCUCUCUCUCUCUCUUUCUCUCUGUAACCACAAGGUUAAAAACUAGAAUUCAAUACUAUAAAUUAACAUUAAAAAAAUCAGAUGAAACUGUAUUAGUACAACGUGGCCUGUAAUGAAUUGGUACCACGAUAUCUAGUUUAGUUUAUUCGAUAAUAUAACAUGUCUACAACAUCGUCCAUUACGCUGUGAUACUAUGAAGAAUGAAGAAAAUUGCAGAAAACGAUCAAUCUCGAACUCGCUUUAUACUAAAAGAAUUGAUAAUAGAUAUUCUAACAAGUUUACCAUAAAAGCUUCAACAUUAAUCUCUUUUAUUAUUUCAACUAAAACAAGGUCCCAAGAGACAUCCUUUUUGGAUGUGACACAAAUCAGAAUCUCCCUAUAAUUUCAUAAAAACUCUCUAACAACUCCUUAAGCUCGAGACAAUGGCGACAAAAAACGCUGGCCAAUCGCAAAACCAAUCUCCAUAAAACUAGAUCCCGCAAGCAUCGCUUCAUCAGCCAUGGAAGGAAUCAUUCAAGAGACUGUCGACAUAGACGUCACGGUAAUAAACACGAGAAACGCGAAUCAUCCUCGUCUGCGUUCACCUGAUCAAGGUUCAAUCAUUCCAUUUCGUCUUAGUUAGAUUUAGAUUCGAGAAACUCGACGACGGUCGUCCACGCAAUCGCGUUCAGGUUCAUUAAUGCGAUCGGACGUGCGUUCUAUCCUCUAAUGGAUGUACGCGAGUGCUGGACUCCGGGUUGCGCGUGCACCCGUGCACUAAAUCAUGCCCCUUACCGAGGAAUAAACGGUUCACGAAGAAAUUCAAAGUAUCCGCGGGGCGAUUUCUCGAAGCAGCGCGCGCGGCUAGUGAUGGGAUCUGAAACACUUCGAAUCUCUUCGAAUCUGCAUUAUACAAGGUGUCCGGUAAUUGGUGUUAUAACCGAGCAAAGAAUGAUUUCUCGUGAAAAAUACUUCGGAAAUAUAGAACGAUGAUAUUGGAUAUGAAGAUAUCGGGUUUGAGAAAAACUAUUUUAAAAAGCCGAGAAGGAAUUAAUGGACUAGAAGCAACAACUGUUUUUAUUUUCGAGGAACUGAAAAAUGCAAAUAAUACACUACACAGAUGAUAAUUUAGUUGAAUGAGUACAAUAAAUUGUGUAUGAAAUCACCUAUUUGUCAAUUCGGUUGAUAUUUUGAAUAGUUUCUGUAUAUUAAUAAAAGUAAUUGUAAAAUGUAAUGGUAAAAUUUACGAAGGUACGCGAAUUAAAAAAUUGAUACUAUACAAUGACGAAUUUUUAAACUCGAUUUUGUCGAAAAUGAUGACUCCAAAGCAAUUUUCUUACUCUUGAUUUUCUUCUUAUUUUGAGCCAUACGAUUUUCCUGACUUCAAUUGUAUUGCGAAUUUAAGAUCACGGUGUAUACAGAUUCAAAGCGAUUCGAAGUGUUUCAGAUCCCAUCACUGCACGCGGCUAAUCGUGGAGCGCCGCUCGAUGGCCGCUCGCGCGCGAUCGCCUGCCCUCGAGAACCAGCUGAGACGCGCAGAUUACAGCGAACGUGCUACCCAUAUUAAUAAACUAGUUUUUAUCGAGGUCGUAUGCCUGUUGGUUCCCUUGAAACUCCAUUCAAACUAUCGGCUACCGGAGCACCGCGACGUUUCGUCCAGACGUCAGUGUCGUCGUCCAGUCAUCGCCUCUGGGAAACUAUUGCCAAUAAUUAUGGAUAAUUAGAGGCGACAAGCAUGAACAAGGCAUAACGCGUCUCGCCACUCGACUGUAUCGAGCCUAAGUCAUGAUUGCCUGAUUUCGCGACGAUUACAAUUCAUCACGCCGAUUAAACUACUUCCUCGGCCACACUUCUCGAGGUUGGGAAGCUGCCAGAAGAAGGAGGAGCUCCGGAGUGCGAUGUUGGCCCGAAGAAUCGUGACCCACGGCUGGCUUUCCUAAGCGGGCUGCGAUUACCGAUUAAAUCGCGGACGCUGGAUCUUCGUGUGCAAACAUACGAACGGACGAGGGCCCAUAGCGGGUGUAGGUACACGAUGUUGCGGCGCAACGGUAAAUUCUUUAGGAGCGACUGAACAUGAGCAGUCUAGAACCACUGGGAACGUCGGUUAUUUAUGUGCAGAGGAUAACGCCGGGUCACGAGUGGUGUGGAACCGUUUUAGAAUCAGCGCGAAUGGGGGACUGAUAAUGGGGAUACAAUGAGAUCGUAGAAGAUGAUAGUAGGUGUCUCGAGUAGUGCACGAGACACAGUUAAUGGAAAUUAACCCCUUGACGUACAAUUUUGUUCGACCUAACAGGUCAAAAAUACACAAUUUUCUUUUUACCACUUCUUAACUAUGUAAUGAUAUAUAUUUUUGUGCAAUUCAUACCUUACGUGUUUAAUAACAACGAAUAUAUAUGUGUAAUAUAUAAUAUAAUAAUAUAAUAUAAUAUAUAUCUUAUAUAUAAGUAAAAUUUUAUCGUAAUCUUGACUUAGAUAGAGACUAAUAAUUAUAA